rnacentral:rRNA from 1 species
ACUCAAAGGAAUUGACGGGGGCUCACACAAGCGGUGGAGCAUGUGGCUUAAUUCGAAGCAACGCGAAGAACCUUAUCCUGGGCUUGACAUGGCUGGAUUAGUCUCCUGAAAGGGAGAUGACGCUCGCAAGAGUGGAACAGUCACAGGUGCUGCAUGGCUGUCGUCAGCUCGUGCUGUGAAGUGUCGGGUUAAGUCCCAUAACGAGCGAAACCCUUAUCGUUAGUUGCCAGCGGGUAAAGCCGGGCACUCUAACGAGACUGCCGGUGUUAAACCGGAGGAAGGCGGGGAUGACGUCAAGUCCUCAUGGCCUUUAUGCCCAGGGCUGCACACGUGCUACAAUGCCGAUGACAAACCGACGCAAGACCGCAAGGUGGAGCAAAUCGGAGAAAAAUCGGCCCAGUUCAGAUUGAGGGCUGCAACUCGCCCUCAUGAAGUUGGAAUCGCUAGUAAUCGCGGAUCAGCUAUGCCGCGGUGAAUGUGUUCCUGAGCCUUGUACACACCGCCCGU